GAGAACGUGGUGUAACUGGAUAACACGUCAGUCUACGUUCGCGUAGCGGUGCGAUAGCACUAACUGAAAAGUGAAGGUUCAAGUCCUUCCGUUCUCG
rnacentral:tRNA from 1 species